rnacentral:rRNA from 1 species
UACGUAGGGGGCAAGCGUUGUCCGGAAUCAUUGGGCGUAAAGCGCGUGUAGGCGGUUCGGUAAGUCUGCUGUGAAAGUCCAGGGCUCAACCCUGGGAUGCCGGUGGAUACUGUCGAACUAGAGUACGGAAGAGGCGAGUGGAAUUCCCGGUGUAGCGGUGAAAUGCGUAGAUAUCGAGAGGAACACCUGCGGCGAAGGCGGGUUGCUGGGCUGACACUGACGCUGAUGCGCGAAAGCCAGGGGAGCGAACGGG